GGCAUGCGCGAGCGGCCGCAGUGACAGUUGGGGAGGCGCGGGUGCCGGCGGGCGGGCGGGCGCGCGCUGGUCGAGGCGAGGCGACGCUGUCCAGGUGAACGGCGGCACGUGCACCUGCACCAUGGCGGCGCUGAAGAAGCUUGACAACAUCUUUCCUAUAACACGGUGCCUAGAACUGAACACAAUACUCUAAAUGAGCCCUCACCAACGUCUUAUACGUCUAUCAUCAUGACUGGUCUACAUCCCAUCCUAGACAGAGGGUGGCUAUCUGCCACUGGAGGAGUUGCACGCCAUGGUCAAGCACCAGACAGCCUACCCCGAUGCCUUUCAUAUCACAGCCUGGGGCUAUAAGAAGACCAGCUUGAAGAAAUCACUCCUAAACCACCUAAACCACCACCAGCUCGUGUCUUUCAGCACCAGAGAAUCAAACACAUUUGUCCACUGCUAGUCCGAUGCCGAUUGCUCCAUUUCUCUCAGUCCAACCAGCAGAUCUCGGACAUUCAAGUCUGGUAACACAGAUUCAUAUAAAGUGUCCAGAUACGACCUUAAUAAGGCCAUCAAAAAGGUUAAAAGGGACACUUGCUCUAAACUGAAGGAUGAUUUGGACAUUCGACAGCUGAGGUACGGCUUGUACUCUAUCACUUCAUAAGGCAAAACCAGGGAGCAGUUCAAGUGAUAGCAAGGCACUCCUCAAUUUUCUCAUGGAAACAUAGACAAUAGGCGCAGAAUAGGCCAUUCGGCCCUUUAAUCCAGCACCGCCAUUCAAUAUGAUCAUGGCUGAUCAACCAAAAUCGGUACCCAGUUCCUGCAUUCUUCCCAUAUCCCUUGAUUCUGUUAGCCCAAAGAACUGUAUCUAACUUUCUCUUAAAUACAUCCAGUGAAUUGGCCUCCACUGACAUGUGCUCAAUGCAUUCUAUGCACGCUCUGAUAGGGACAACACUGACCUGCCUUCUCAGGCCCCAUACCUCUGAUGGUAUUGCUGUCUCAGUCAUCGAUGCUGAUGUCAGAAGAUACUUCAGAAGGAUGAAUCUACAGAAAGUAUUUUUUACCUGAUUAUGUGCGCUGAUCGUGUUCUCAAAACUGGUGCGGACCGACUGGCUGGAGAUUUCGCGGACAUUUUCAAUGUCUCAAUGUUUCAAUGACUACAAGCCGGUGUCAAUAACAUCUGUUGUGAUGAAGCGUUUUGAGAGUUUGGUUAUGGUGUAUAUCAAUUUCUGCCUCGGCAAGAACCCAGAGCCUCUACAAUUUGCCUACUGCCAUUGUGGAUCAUCAACGGGUGAUGUGAUCUUGCUAGCACUCCACCUGCACUGGAUCACUUAAACAAUAAAAAACAUACAUCAAGCUAUUCAUUCAAUACAGCUUGGCGUAUAACACCAUCAUCCUCUCCAAACUUGUUUCCAAGGUCUGAGAACUAGGCCUCCAUGCAUUCCUUUGCAACUGGACCCUCAACUUCCUCAACAAAAUGCAAUUCAGUAUGAGUUAGCAACAACAUUUCCUUCUCAAUGACCAUCAGCCUCCUGCUCCAGUCACUCUAUACCAAUGAUUGCAUAGUUGGACACAGUUCCAACUCGAUUUUAAAUUUACCACUACACCACUUUUGUGAGACGAAUUAUGGAUAAUGAUGAGUCAGUGUAGGAGGAAGAUUGAUCGUCUGUUUGAAUGAUGCUACACCAACCUUGACCUCAAGGUUUAAGAAGGACCUGCAGAUGCUGGAAAAUCGAAGGUCGACAAAAGUGCUGGAGAAACUCAGCGGGUGCAACAGCAUCUAUGAAACGAAGGAAAUAGGCAACGUUUCGGGCCGAAACCCUUCCUAUUUCCUUCGUUCCAUAGAUGCUGUUGCACCCGCUGAGUUUCUCCAGCACUUUUGUCAAUCUUGACCUCAACGACAGUAAAACCAAGAAAUUGAGUAUUGACUUUUGAAGAGGAAGGCUGAGGAUCCACAAACCCAUCUUCAUCAAUGGGUUGGUGGUGGAGGAGAGAGUCAAAAACUUCAUGUUCUAGACACGCAUAGCUCUGUAGAUCUGUCCAGGACCCAGCACAAUGAUGCAAUCAUCAAGAAAGCCCAACCGUACCUCUAAUCCUUGCAAGAUUGGGGAGAUUUGGUAAGUUGAUGAAUACUCUCUUGAACUUCCACAGGUGUACGGGAGAGAGCAUACUGACCGAUUGCAUCAGGCCUGGUACGGCAACUUGAAUGCCCAGGAAUGAAGGAUAUUGCAAAAAGUGGUGAAUACUGCCCGCUCCAUCACAGGUACUGACUGCCCCUUUUGAAGGCCAGCAUGAUCAAGGACCCACACUGCCCCGGAAUCAUAAUGCCCAGGUUUAGGAAUGUCUUCCCAAUGACCAUCAGGCUAUUGAACACUACAAACUUCCAAUAUACUGCAAAUUGAUUUGGUUUUACUGGGGAUUUUGGGCUUAUGUUUUUGGCAUUGUAUUGGGAUUUUUUUUUAUUUGUUAUGUUUUAUGUCUAUUGAGUGUUUACAAAGCUGUCGUGCUGCUGCAAGUAAGAAUUUCAUUGUUCCACUUCGGUACAUAUGACAAUAAACUCUUGAUUCAUGGA